rnacentral:rRNA from 1 species
UACGUAGGGUGCGAGCGUUAAUCGGAAUUACUGGGCGGAAAGCGUGCGCAGGCGGUUCGUUAAGUCAGAUGUGAAAGCCCCGGGCUCAACCUGGGAACUGCAUUUGAAACUGGCGGGCUUGAGUAUGGCAGAGGGGGGUGGAAUUCCGCGUGUAGCAGUGAAAUGCGUAGAGAUGCGGAGGAACACCGAUGGCGAAGGCAGCCCCCUGGGCCAAUACUGACGCUCAGGCACGAAAGCGUGGGGAACAAACAGG